UCCUCGCUCGAAGAAUCGCAACGAAGCUUACGCACAGAGCGCAUUCACUGCGUCUCUUUUCUCACGCUUUGGGAGAAAGUCCCCGGACAUCGAUCUUCGCGAUCGCACUUUCAGAAACGAACCGCCAUAGAAGCCGCAGCUUCCAUCACCGCCUACGACGCUUUCCGCCUCUCUCUAUCCGCUUGCACUCUUUUUCGUCAGCUUUCCCAAGGCUGUGGGUGGAGGGGCUGGCACCUGGAUGAUGAUAUGAGUCCGUUGGCUACCUUGCUCGCAUGCCUAGGCCUUGUUGAGGGAUGAGAGGAGGAGGGAGAUGUCGGGAAGCGCCAGGUAUGGGGGGUCAUCUCGUCCAGUUCAUGGUUAUGCGAUUGCCUUCCCUGCGCUUUGGUAAUACAAGGUGCUCUGGGGGGUAACUCAAUGGGGCUUAUUCUUGAGGCGAGG
rnacentral:RNase_MRP_RNA from 1 species